GACGGAGGAUGCAAGUGUUAUCCGGAAUCACUGGGCGUAAAGCGUCUGUAGGUGGUUUAAUAAGUCAACUGUUAAAUCUUGAGGCUUAACCUCAAAAUCGCAGUCGAAACUAUUAGGCUAGAGUAUAGUAGGGGUAAAGGGAAUUUCCAGUGGAGCGGUGAAAUGCGUAGAUAUUGGAAAGACCACCGACGGCGAAGGCACUUUACUGGGCCAUUACUGACACUAAGAGACGAAAGCUAGGGGAGCAAAUGGG
rnacentral:rRNA from 1 species